rnacentral:rRNA from 1 species
CUUGCUUCUCUUGAGAGCGGCGGACGGGUGAGUAAUGCCUAGGAAUCUGCCUGGUAGUGGGGGAUAACGUUCGGAAACGGACGCUAAUACCGCAUACGUCCUACGGGAGAAAGCAGGGGACCUUCGGGCCUUGCGCUAUCAGAUGAGCCUAGGUCGGAUUAGCUAGUUGGUGGGGUAAUGGCUCACCAAGGCUACGAUCCGUAACUGGUCUGAGAGGAUGAUCAGUCACACUGGAACUGAGACACGGUCCAGACUCCUACGGGAGGCAGCAGUGGGGAAUAUUGGACAAUGGGCGAAAGCCUGAUCCAGCCAUGCCGCGUGUGUGAAGAAGGUCUUCGGAUUGUAAAGCACUUUAAGUUGGGAGGAAGGGUUGUAGAUUAAUACUCUGCAAUUUUGACGUUACCGACAGAAUAAGCACCGGCUAACUCUGUGCCAGCAGCCGCGGUAAUACAGAGGGUGCAAGCGUUAAUCGGAAUUACUGGGCGUAAAGCGCGCGUAGGUGGUUUGUUAAGUUGGAUGUGAAAUCCCCGGGCUCAACCUGGGAACUGCAUUCAAAACUGACUGACUAGAGUAUGGUAGAGGGUGGUGGAAUUUCCUGUGUAGCGGUGAAAUGCGUAGAUAUAGGAAGGAACACCAGUGGCGAAGGCGACCACCUGGACUAAUACUGACACUGAGUGCGAAAGCGUGGGGAGCAAACAGGAUUAGAUACCCUGGUAGUCCACGCCGUAAACGAUGUCAACUAGCCGUUGGAAGCCUUGAGCUUU